GUCUGAUUGGCUCAGUGGGUAGAGCAUGUGGGUAGAGCAUGUGGCUCCUCAAUAGCUACUUUUAUGGACUAUGUAGUUACUUCAAUGUCUCGAGUUCGAGCCUCCCAUAGGGCU